AGGAUCUACAGUAUACUAUAUGUGGUGGGUGGGUUGUUUUUCUCAUUUCUGUUGGUUCUUUUACCCACUACGAAUUCCUUGUUGUUUUGUUCAUCUUUUUUUUUCAGGCCAGUUCAGUGCACUCUUAGUCAGAUUUGAACUGGUCCACCCACCUCUAGUCCAGAACCUCACCCCACCCACCCCCGCUCAUGCUAGUGCGUGUGUUGGGGUUUGUGAUUAUUUAGCAAAGUGCCAAAAGAAGCUAGCCACUCCAGUAACAGAGUAGAGUGCUGAGUUUAAUUGUUGCAGUUAUUUAAGGAACACGCAUGGAGAUCGUUGUACAAUCUAAACUAAAUAAUGUUAUUGGUGAAGUACAUUUGAGAUAGAAAAGACCUAGUCCUAUCUAUCAGCUACAUAACUGAUAGAGAGGGAGAUGUUUCCAUCAGUUCUCUUCCAUCAGGAAGAGAACUGACUCACUACAGGAAGUACCAAGUACCUGAGGAGUCAAGGCAAGGGUCAUAGAGUAGAGGCAAGCAGGGACAGAUAAGGAGACCCUCACUAACUACCUCUUCUUUCAAUGCUCCUAGUGGUCAUUAGGAUAGUUGCUGCAAAAGGUUGAUGCACUGGAACUCCAUCUCCAACACUAUGUAAUUCUGCCUCUCCUGAUCACAAAAAUAUAGUAUUUGUCUGCAUGAGACAGAUGGGGAACCUGAGGAGAGAUCUUCCCUGUGAUUAGGAAUGCUGCAUUUUUAAAAGAGAAAAGGAUAUUGGGAGUUUCAUUCCGGAACACCCAUAUUGUCUUGUCUAAUUCUCAGCCCUCAGAGUUCAUACAGGGAAUGCAAGGGAAAUAUUCACAUAAGAAAUCAUUACAAAGUAUAAAGAGUUAAUUGCAUAGAGAACAGCCUUUUCUCUUAAAAAAAAUUAAUAUAGCAGUGAUUAUUCUUCUGCCUGGAGCAAAUAUUCAUUUUAUUAUGAAGAUUUUUGACAAUUUAAUCUGGGGAACACAAGAUGAAAGUAGAGCUUAUUAGAACUGUGUGUGCUAAGCAAAUGAUUAAUAGCUCAGACGGCUAUCAUGAAAACCAAGCACUUUCUCUAUAUGGUUUGCAAAUGGUACUUCAGACUGUACUUAAGUGUAGCCACCUGUGGAGUGAGAUAUGGAAAUAGCUUAUAGAAUAGCAUUAUUUUAGACAGGGCUGUCCAGAGGAGGGUGUGGGGCUAGGAACAUAUUGGCAUGUGUGAAGCUUCCUUAACAUUUCAGUAUAAAAUAUACUACUACUACUAGAACAAAUAUUUAUAUACCACUCUUCGUUGAAGCCACCUAAUGGCGCAGCGGGGAAAUGCUUGACUAACAAGCAGAAGGUUGCUGGUUCAAAUCCCUGCUGGUACUAUAUUGGGCAGCAGCGAUAUAGGAAGAUGCUGAAAGGCAUCAUCUCAUACUGCACAGGAGGAGGUAAUGGUAAACCCCUCCUGUAUUCUAUCAAAAGAAAACCACAGGGCUCUGUGGGCGCCAGGAGUUGAAAUCGACUUGACAGCACACUUUACCUUAAUUCAUCGAAAGUUACAUAGAAAAAUUAAUGAUACAUAAUUAAGAUGGUCCCCUGUCCUGACAAUCUAAAAAGAAACAAAAGGCAGAUGCCAGCAAUAACUACUGAAGGGAUGCUGUGCUUCUGUUGGAUGUGGCUAGUUGAUCUUCCCCUGCUAAAUAUAAGAGAAUCACCACUUUAAAAAGGUGUCUGCUCAGUUAGCAGGGGUUAUAAAUAAAUUAUAUGUCACACACACACACACACACACACACACACACACACACACACACACCACAGCCCGGAGUGGUGUUUGUCUUUAUCCUCACAACAACCCUGUGAGGUAACACAGGCUGAGAGAGAAGUGACUGGGCCAAAGUCACCCAGUGAAUUUCAUGGCUGAAUGGGGAUUUGAACUCGAUUCUUCAAGGUUAAUAAGAGCACUUAAAUAAUUAAAGAAGUUUUGUUUAUAAUUGAUGACUUCCUGCUAAUUAAAACUUUUUUAAAAUUGUGUCUUUAAGGAAUGACACAUUUAACCAAAUCAACCAUUUCAGCAAUGCCAAGAACCAAAGGGGUGUUAUAAAACUGGUGGUGGUGGUGGUGGUGGGAGAUUUCUUUUUCUACCCCAGCUGCACUUCCUAAGUGCACAGGUAAGGAGAGCACUGCUAAUUAAUACUGUCUGGAGACAUGGAAUAAAAGUUCAAAAUAAAGUAGUUUAUUUAGGAAAUCCAUCAGAGAGAUUGUUAAAGCCUACAUGCCUUGCUGCUAGCUACAUAUAGGAAGAGGGGAGGGAGAAGGAGGAAGUCUCUCUGUCCAGGUGAGACAAUGAAACCUGAGAAUCCAUCACAGUGGGGGCUGGUAGGCAUUAGGGCUAGAGGGGAGCAGAGGAGAUCCCACUCACCAAGGCAAGAGCUUCCCACCCAAAAUGGGGAGAGAGAAGGCAGGGGCCAAAAGGCAGAAAGCAGAGAGUAGGGGAAGGAGAAAGAGAAAAGAGAAAAGAAAAAGAGAACUCAAGGGGCAGAAAGCCAGAACUUGCAUCUCCUCAACAAAGAAACCAAACAAACAAGCUACCAGAGAAACUCAAACUUACCAGUACAGGCAGGCAGCACAUCCUCCAAAGCAAGAAGCUUUCUCCAGCCUCUCCUCGCCUGUUGCUUCCUUCUUUGGUCUUAUUGGCUGGAACAGCCUGUAAUCAAGCUGUUCCAGCCAGUUUGAGCCCUAAGGGGCGCCAGCCUGGCAUCAACCAGGAACUUUAAAAAAAGGUAGAAAAAACAUUCCCUGAAACCACCAGGAAGUGCAUUUUUAAAUCAUUUUUUUAACUGGCUCUGUGCUUUGGAGGAUUUGCUCCCUUUACUGAUGAACGACCUCUGGUCUAUCAGUCUAAAAACAGGUUGCUUACCUGUAUGAUUAUUCUUGAGUGAUCCUAGGUAUUCACACAACUGGGAUACGCACCUGCGCAGGAGACCAUUCAGGAAGAUUCUACAAGCUUCGUGUGGCGCUCCCAACUCCGCCCACGGCAUGCAUGCAUCCACUGACAUUGGCAGUCAGAGAACUGCUCUCCUCAGUUCCUGGAUGACUGCCAGACGUCAGCGACCAUUGUAAGUGGAACUGGAGAGGACACAAAGAGCCUGCUAUUCUUUCGGAAUGGAUGAGUCCUGUCAAGAUAGAAGGCAAGUGCCCUGCAAACAUCUAACUUGUGGAGGGAUCAUUCCAAGUCAGACAGUGGGUCACAGAAGAAGGCCGGCAGGAACACAUCUUGGAUGAUGUGAAAACUUGAAUUUAUUUUGGGAAUAAAGGAAAGAUCCAAAUGCA